UCCUGGUGGAGCCCAAUUUUGGUCAAGUGGUGUAGUCCAUCUACCAAUAAUCCAUGUCUGUCAAUUUACACAGGUUCUAUGGGAUGAGCAUUAAUUAUUAUUUAGUUGUUGGUUUCUCAGCAAACAAACAACCAUAUAUGGAAUUAAUUGGAGUCAUCAAGAUAUUCCGACCCCAAUAGAUGAAAUGGACUAGUCUUUGGUUUAUUUAAAUGCAAGAAUGCUCAAUCAUAUUUUAUACCAUGAAAUGUAUGUUUCAGGACAGAUUUAGACCUUAUGCGAGGUCACAAAUGGGCCAAGAAGGGUGUCGGGACUUCAUAUCAACAAGCAUAGGCGAAACAGGCCUUAGCAGGGCAAAUCGAUCGACGUCUAGGGGUUUUACGUUGACUGGUAUCUUCUAUUGUGCUUUUUGUGCUUUUGGGUUUCACGUCGACCUGUAUCUUUUCUAUUAAUUUUUUUUUAUAUUUUAUUUUAUUUUGUAGUAACAUCGUUAAACAAAUAAAUAAAUAAAAAUUUCCAAUAUCAGUGUGCAUUAGUUUUUGGAGUUUGAAAAAUUUUUGUUUUUUUUCACUUUUUACUUUAUUUUUGUUAUUUAUUUAUUUUUAUCUUUACUUUUCUUUUUAUACUUUUAUUUUUAUUUUAUAUUUUUAUCUUUACUUGUCUAUUUCCGACGUAAGAGUAAUUUAAUCAAUUUAGGAUUUAAAUUUGUCAGAGUGAUCUAUUUGCACCUUAUUGAAACUAUAGGGGUAUUUUUUUGCACGAGAUGGACUUCCUCCGAUAGUAUCAUUUUCGGUCAUUUCACAAAAUUAUUUAUUUUUAUGUAUUUUAUAAAAUAGUGGAUAAUUUAGUUAACUAAGGGUUUAAAUUUAUCAAAGUAAUCUAUUUGUACCAAAUUGAAACUUUAAAGUUAUUUUUUUGCACGUAAGGAGUGUGAUAUACAUGUAAAUAUACUUUAUGGGCGUUUUCACAGAGACAGAGAGAGAGAGAGAGAGAGAGAGCAACCGAUCUUUUGCUUAAGAUCUUUUAUUUCAGAUCUUUUGCUUAAGAUCUUUAUUUUGGUAUAAAUCAUUUCAGUAGAGUAGGUAUACAUCACAAUAUGUCUAAAUUACAAAUUUGGAUGCUUAAUCCAAAUGUUUUUUUUAUUUUUAUUUUUUUUAUUUUAUGUUAUAACAAUUAAAAUAAAUGAAUCUGCCAUUCCUCUUGUUUUCUUAGAUUCUGUUUGACAAUAUUCAUCUUGAAUGGAUGAUAGUUUAUGUUUUAGUUGUCAAAUAGGGCAAUAUAAAAAUAAAAACUAGUGGCAAAAGUAUAUUUAUAUAUUUUAAAUAUAAAGUAUAGUGUAUAUGUAUUAUAUAAAAAAAAGCUCCUCUUUUUUGUCUUUUUCGCUUUCAUAUUAUUCCUUAAUUAAGCAAUUAGCAUUAAAAAAAAAAAGAAUCAAUAAGAAUUUGCAUAUCAUAAACUAGUUACAAAUACAACAAUUCUUUCUCACUCGUGGAGCAGAUCAACAAUUUAAUUGGACUAACCACUUUCAUUUAAUUUUUUCGCAAACUUUUCCAUAUGAACAUAAAACGUUUAGUUAUGUUAUGUUCAAUUUUUUAUUCUUUCAUUUGUGAACUUUGUAUUUAUUUAUUUUUGUAAUUCAUUGCAUUUUUAGGUGUUUUUAUCACUUAAUUCAUGAAAAGGUAAAACAAAACUGCGGAUGAGAAAAUUGGUGAAUUAUAGAUAUAACAUUUGUUUAUUGUAUUUGAUGAUGAAAUGGAAUUGGCGACAUGGAUAAUUCUAUUUCUCUUUUUUAUUUUACGUAAAAGUUAUUAAAAUAAAAUAAUAAUAUUUUUUUUCUUCCAUUCCUACAAUCCUUUUCUUUUUUCUUGUCAUACAUUGCCUCGCUCUGCUAACAGUUGUUGCCUUCAUCUUUUCUUUCUUUUGUAUUUAUCCAAAAACGCUUUUACAGCCAAAUCAGCACCUUAUUGGAAAGUAAAUUAAAUUUCUUUUCAUAUUUAGUCUUUUUAUAUAAGGAUAAUACUUAGUUCCUCACUAGUGAGGAUCUACAUCAUUCUUAUCGCAUAUGUGAUCUAAUGAAAAGAAAAUACGUCAUUUUUUAUUAAAUUGGCAAGAAAAAUAAAAUAAAUGGGAUCAUACCCUAAUGAGAUCAGGUAAAGUAGGUUCAACGAUUCUUAUUAGUUUUAUUUUUCAAGGAUUCAACGUUGCUCUUUGGUUCGUUCUCUUUACGGCACCGGCUUCAGCCCUUUCUCCCCACCAUAUUCUUCCUCAAGGUUCUAGUCCCGGACAUCAUCAUUCAAUUGGCAAAAAUAUUUAAAGGAGGUCAUGGCAAGAAAGUCAUAGAGGACAUUCCUCCUCAGCUGUAGAUAGAGUCGGGGCGCUUGUAUAGCAAACAAUGUAUAAUAGUGAGACAAUGUGUUGUAUAAUGUGGUUUAGUACAUCCCUGUUGUGUAAUAAACUCUAUUAUAGACUCUGAGAUUUUAUAGUUGUAAAUGAUGUAUCUUACUUGUAUAUUUUCCUACAUGGGACUGUAAUGGGAAUGGAUAGGUGAAUGUUGUGUA